rnacentral:misc_RNA from 1 species
UUUGAGUUAUUAAUUCUUGCGCGCCC